rnacentral:rRNA from 1 species
GCAGGAGCUUGCUCUUGUGGAUCAGUGGCGAACGGGUGAGUAACACGCUGAGCAACCUGCCCCUGACUCUGGGAUAAGCGCUGCAGACGGCGUCUAAUACUGGAUAUGUGACGUGACCAAAUGGUCUGCGUUUGGAAAGAUUUUUCGGUUGGGGAUGGGCUCGCGGCCUAUCAGCUUGUUGGUGAGGUAAUGGCUCACCAAGGCGUCGACGGGUAGCCGGCCUGAGAGGGUGACCGGCCACACUGGGACUGAGACACGGCCCAGACUCCUACGGGAGGCAGCAGUGGGGAAUAUUGCACAAUGGGCGAAAGCCUGAUGCAGCAACGCCGCGUGAGGGAUGACGGCCUUCGGGUUGUAAACCUCUUUUAGCAGGGAAGAAGCGAAAGUGACGGUACCUGCAGAAAAAGCGCCGGCUAACUACGUGCCAGCAGCCGCGGUAAUACGUAGGGCGCAAGCGUUAUCCGGAAUUAUUGGGCGUAAAGAGCUCGUAGGCGGUUUGUCGCGUCUGCUGUGAAAUCCCGAGGCUCAACCUCGGGCCUGCAGUGGGUACGGGCAGACUAGAGUGCGGUAGGGGAGAUUGGAAUUCCUGGUGUAGCGGUGGAAUGCGCAGAUAUCAGGAGGAACACCGAUGGCGAAGGCAGAUCUCUGGGCCGUAACUGACGCUGAGGAGCGAAAGGGUGGGGAGCAAACAGGCUUAGAUACCCUGGUAGUCCACCCCGUAAACGUUGGGAACUAGUUGUGGGGUCCAUUCCACGGAUUCCGUGACGCAGCUAACGCAUUAAGUUCCCCGCCUGGGGAGUACGGCCGCAAGGCUAAAACUCAAAGGAAUUGACGGGGACCCGCACAAGCGGCGGAGCAUGCGGAUUAAUUCGAUGCAACGCGAAGAACCUUACCAAGGCUUGACAUAUACGAGAACGGGCCAGAAAUGGUCAACUCUUUGGACACUCGUAAACAGGUGGUGCAUGGUUGUCGUCAGCUC